CAGCCGCCGCGGUAAUACGUAGGUGGCAAGCGUUGUCCGGAAUUAUUGGGCGUAAAGGGCUCGCAGGCGGUUUCUUAAGUCUGAUGUGAAAGUCCCCGGCUCAACCGGGGAGGGUCAUUGGAAGCUGGGAAACUUGAGUGCAGAAGAGGAGAGUGGAAUUCCACGUGUAGCGGUGAAAUGCGUAGAGAUGUGGAGGAACACCAGUGGCGAAGGCGACUCUCUGGUCUGUAACUGACGCUGAGGAGCGAAAGCGUGGGGAGCGAACAGGAUUAGAUACCCCCGUAGUCCCUGUCUCUUAUAC
rnacentral:rRNA from 1 species